AAUCAACGCUGGCGGCGUGCCUAACACAUGCAAGUCGAACGAGAAAGUGGAGCACUCCAUGAGUACAGUGGCGCACGGGUGAGUUACACGUGACUAACCUGCCUUCGAGGGGGGAAUAACCUCGGAAUACCGGGGCUAAUACCGCAUAACAACAUCGGGUGAAAUUCCUGCUGCUAAAAAGUUUUUUGCUUGAAUAGGGGGUCGCGGCUGAUUAGCUAGUGGGAGGGGUAACGGCCCACCAAGGCAGUGAUCAGGAGCCGGCCUGGGAGGGCGCACGGCCACACUGGAACUGAAACACGGUCCAGACUCCUACGGGAGGCAGCAGUGGGGAAUUUUGCGCAAUGGGGGAAACCCUAACGCAGCAACGCCGCGUGGAGGAUGAAGUCCCUUGGGACGUAAACUCCUUUCGAUCGGGAAGAAUAAUGACGGUACCGGAAGAAGAAGCCCCGGCUAACUUCGUGCCAGCAGCCGCAGUAA
rnacentral:rRNA from 1 species